AUUGAACGCUGGCGGCAGGCCUAACACAUGCAAGUCGAACGAGUGGCGGACGGGUGAGUAAUGUCUGGGAACCUGCCUGAUGGAGGGGGAUCACUACUGGAAACGGUAGCUAAUACCGCAUACCAUAGGAUGAGCCCAAGUGGGAUUAGGUAGUUGGUGAGGUAAAGGCUCACCAAGCCGACGAUCUCUAGCUGGUCUGAGAGGAUGACCAGCCACACUGGGACUGAGACACGGCCCAGACUCCUACGUGAGGCAGCAGUGGGGAAUAUUGCGCAAUGGGGGCAACCCUGACGCAGCCAUGCCGCGUGAAUGAAGAAGGCCUUCGGGUUGUAAAGUUCUUUCGGUAGAGAGGCGUUAACUACAGAAGAAGCACCGGCUAACUCCGUGCCAGCAGCCGCGGUAAUUC
rnacentral:rRNA from 1 species